rnacentral:rRNA from 1 species
CGGCGAGUGAAGCGGCAACAGMUCAAAUUUGAAAGCUGGCCUUCGGGUCCGCAUUGUAAUUUGUAGAGGAUGCUUUGGGUGAAACGCCAGUCUAAGUUCCUUGGAACAGGACGUCAUAGAGGGUGAGAAUCCCGUAUGUGACUGGAAAUGUUAACCUGUGUAAAGCUCCUUCGACGAGUCGAGUUGUUUGGGAAUGCAGCUCUAAAUGGGAGGUAAAUUUCUUCUAAAGCUAAAUAUUGGCGAGAGACCGAUAGCGCACAAGUAGAGUGAUCGAAAGAUGAAAAGCACUUUGGAAAGAGAGUUAAAAAGCACGUGAAAUUGUUGAAAGGGAAGCGCUUGCAAUCAGACUUGUUUAAACUGUUCGGCCGGUCUUCUGACCGGUUUACUCAGUUUGGACAGGCCAGCAUCAGUUUCGGCGGCCGGAUAAAGGCUCUGGGAAUGUGGCCUUCACUUCGGUGAAGGUGUUAUAGCCCAGGGUGUAAUACGGCCAGCCGGGACUGAGGUCCGCGCUUCGGCUAGGAUGCUGGCGUAAUGGUUGUAAGCGACCCGUCUUGAAACACGGAC